rnacentral:lncRNA from 10 species
GCAAAGGGUGUUUAGAUAGCUGCAGGUAGUUUGGUGCAGCUGAAACAGAUUUCAAUUAGGGUUCGGCUGCAGAUGGAAGCAGGGGGGCCUUGGAGUUUGCAUUUGGUUCUUUGGGAGUACGAAGCUAUUGUAAGGCCUUUGGCUGGAAGUAACAUGAUUCAGCAGUAUCCCUCAGGAAUGAGACAGGGACAAAGCUGGGGGGACUAGUGAGGAGAUGAACUAGAAUAAUGCAGAUUAAACUUGAUGAGAGUUGUAUUGAAGGAAUAUCCAGAGGAGAAGACUUUGAGAGAGAGAAUGCAGGCAGAACAAUAAGCCUAGAUGGAUACUCGGAUGUGAAGAGGGAAAGCACUUGAGCAUGACUCCCAGCUCAGUUAUGAUGUCAUUAAAUUUAUGACACUGGAAAUUUAGGGGAGAGUGGGCAGAUGGGAAAGGCAGAGAGCAGAGCAUAGUGAAGGCAGCUAAAUUCAAUUGGGGCAUGUUGAGAUUGAGUUCUCUGUGGUCAUUCAGACAGAACUGUCCACUAAGAAGAAAUGGAAUCUAUGGUUCUGCAGGUCAGAAUGGUCUGUACCAGAGAUGAAGUCAUCGGUCUACAGAUGAAUUGAGUGAAAGCAAUCACCCAGAGCCAGGCAAGGUGUCAGAGCUCCAACAUCAAAAGGUGGUUGACUGGUGGGUUGGUAAGAAGAAUUUACCACUGACCGUAUAGGACUGGAAAAGGAAAGGUUUAUUAGGUAGAAAGAACGCUGUCGAAGAGUGCAGCUGCAGCGGAGCACCUCAGCAAGAGAGGACUGAGUGCAACACAGUGGAUCCUUCCUCAGGGGUAUUUAUGGACCUUAAAGCCGGAGCUGAAGGGGUGGAGAAGGGCCUUUUCUUCUCUCUUCUAUGAAGACCACUCAUUGACGACAUCAUCGCAGGUCUGGUUUACUAUCCGAGCUCCAGGAGCCUCCUAUUUGCCAUAUGAUCUGUGGAAGGGAGAGAGCAGCAUGCUGGAGGGGAUGAUUUGGCAAGUCCGCUGAAGAACACAAGCCUCGACUGCUCCCCGGCGUGGAAGAAGGAAGGCGAUAAAUACUGUAACGGAGGACGAGGAAGGAGCACUGAGUUCUAUGUGGAAAGAAAGGGUCAAAAAGAGGAAAACGCCUAUUCACAUGCAUGGCGUUUAACAGAUUUAUUAGGUUGUUUGCUGUGUGAUGUAAAUCUCCUCCUCUCUCUCCUUGAAAUUUCUUGAGUGAAUUCUACAUUGUUCAUUCAUUCAUGUUUAUGUGCCAGCAAGCUUUGGGAGCACUGUAAAAAUAAAAAAGGUUAGACCACUGUUAGACAUCUGGGAAACAUCUAUGUUAGAGAAGGACUAUAUAUUAAUUUAUCUCAUUUAUGGGAGGCAAAUACUAUGAUUAUUGAAGGUACAUCUCUUUCUUUAUGGAUGGAGUACAUCUUAUUUUUCUAAAAUUUGUAUUUGAACCUAUUUAUUUCUAAUUGUCAAAAAUGUGAAGUGAGAAACUUAAAAACUUUUUAGUUUCUCUUGUCCCACCAUUUUAUGUACUUCCAGGUUGUCAAAUAAUUUGGAAUUUUAGACUUAGAUAAUUCUCUAAUGUAUAUUAUAGAUCUUCUAUUUCAAUAAUUAGCUUAUAUUUUAAUUAAAUUGUAUAACUGCAUUAAAAUAUACUUAACUAUGUUUUUCUAGUUUUAUUAUUUGGUUUUUCAUUUAGGAAAUAUUUAUGUUUGUGUGUAUAUAUAGUUGCCCUUCUAGAAUUCUUUAGUUUGAUUGCAUCUCUAUAGACUAGAUAAUGGUAUCUGUCUUACUUAUUUAUUUAUUUUUAAGACAGUCUCAUUCUGUCACCCAGGCUGGAGUGCAGUGGCGCAAUCUCAGCUCACUAUGACCUCCACUUCCUGGGUUCAAGUGAUUCUCCUGCCUCAGCCUCUUGAGUAGCUGGGACUACAGGCAUGCACCAGCAUGCCCAGCUAAUUUUUGCAUUUUUAGUAGAGAUGGGUUUUCACCAUGUUGGUUGGCCAGGCUUGUCUGGAACUCCUGACCUCAGGGGAUCCUUCUGCCUCGGCCUCCCAAAGUGCUGGAAUUACAGGUGUGAGCCACCACGCCUGGCCAGUAUAUGUCUUUGGGUAAAAUUUUUUCAGAAAGAGUGAAUAAACCAUGAUAACUGAUCUUUACUUAGCACUUCCCAUGUGCCAGUCAUUAUUCUUUAUCUGUAUUAACUCAUUUAAUCUAGACAACAACCCCAUGAGUAAGUUACCACUACCCAGUAGUGGCUCUUGGGAUGGGUGGAAGGAAGGAUGACGAGGUAUAUGGAGAUCAAUCAGGAAGCGAUUACAAGAAACCUGGUGAGGGACAAGGGAGGCCUCAGUGAGAAAGAGACAGAUGUGAGAAAUGUCUGACAUCACCCAGAGAGUGAGCACAGGAUCCAAUAGGUAGUUUUUCAGCCCUUGCCCCUCCCUUCCCCUCUCACCCCUCUAGUUAGGAGUCACCAGUUCCUAUUGUUGCCAUCUUUUUGUCCACAAUUACCCAAUGUCUGGCUCCCACUUAUAAGUGAGAACUAACCCUUAACAUCCUCCACUUAUUGCAGUUAGAAAUCUCAUUGUGACGUCCACAAAGCAAGUGAAUAUUUGAAUAUUGGCUCAAUCAUUAACUAAUUUUGUGACCUUAGAAAAGUUACUUAGCCUUUCUGAGCCUCAUAAUCUUCAUCUGCAAAUGGAAAAAUAAUAAUUCCUGCCUCUCGUUGUUACUAUGAACACUGUAAUAUUGAAUAUAAUUAAAUACUCUUCCUCAUCCUUCUUAUAAUUGCUUGUGUUUGGGUAAGCUUGUCUACUAGACACAAGUUCCUCGAAGGCAGAAGUACUCUUCAGUGAAUCUUUACAAUACUCCAAGCACAUAAUACUCAA